CACGUAGGGCGCAAGCGUUGUCCGGAAUUAUUGGGCGUAAAGAGCUCGUAGGCGGUCUGUUGCGUCCGCUGUGAAAACCUCGGGGCUUAACCCCGAGCCUGCAGUGGAUACGGGCAGACUAGAGGUAGGUAGGGGAGAAUGGAAUUCCCGGUGUAGCGGUGAAAUGCGCAGAUAUCGGGAGGAACACCGGUGGCGAAGGCGGUUCUCUGGGCCUUACCUGGACGGCUGAGG
rnacentral:rRNA from 1 species